UGACAUAUAAUAUGGACAAAAAUAGUACAAAUUUAUUGGGUGAAAUAUUAUUUUCUUAAUCUAUUAAAGUACUUGUAUUUGCCCUUUUUAGAAGAAACAUGGGAAUGCUCAUCAAAUAAAAUAACAAGGUAAACGGAAAUUAGUUAAAAGGCCUAAAAGAAAGAUAUAUCAUUCACCUACCGGAUAAAUCCAAAUUUCAGAAUCACAGCACAGGUUUGAGGAUGACUAGUCCUUUUCCUGCAUGCCAUAUCUUACAAAAGUUCUUCCUUGUCAAACAAUGACUUAAUUUCUAUGAUGCAGUUUUCAACAAUGCACGAGAUCUAUGAUGAAAGUUAUAUAGACCAGUAAAUGCAAAUCAUACAUAUGUCAUGAAUAAGUAUUAAAAAGAGAUUUUCCUAGCAAAUCGGACGAGAGAAUUAAGAUGUUUCCAACUAAAGAAGGGUAGAACCUACACGAACUACAACUACACAUUGGAAACUGAGGUCAACCAGAUAAAAGUACUCAUUAACACGUUGCACCACCCACUAACACACUGCACUAAUAAAAGAUCCAAGAAAGAAACUGAUUACUAGACUAAUUAACAGAGUCCACCUAAAAGAGAAUACGAUGCCAAAGAACCACAGCCCUCACCCAUAUAUCAGGGGCGAGCCCUCUUGUUACUGCAGGAGGGGCACUUGUACUGCUUAAUAUGCUCAGCUCUAGCAGGGGUGAUCUUCACACACUUUCCAUGGAACCACUUCUCACAGAUGUCGCAACAAAUCCAGAAUUCAUCAGAUGCA
rnacentral:misc_RNA from 1 species